rnacentral:rRNA from 1 species
GACGAACGCUGGCGGCGUGCUUAACACAUGCAAGUCGAACGGUAAGGCCCUUCGGGGUACACGAGUGGCGAACGGGUGAGUAACACGUGGGUGAUCUGCCCUGCACUUCGGGAUAAGCCUGGGAAACUGGGUCUAAUACCGGAUAGGACCACUGCCUGCAUGGGUGGUGGUGGAAAGCUUUUGUGGUGUGGGAUGGGCCCGCGGCCUAUCAGCUUGUUGGGGGGGUGAUGGCCUACCAAGGCGACGACGGGUAGCCGGCCUGAGAGGGUGACCGGCCACACUAGGACUGAGAUACGGCCCAGACUCCUACGGGAGGCAGCAGUGGGGAAUAUUGCACAAUGGGCGCAAGCCUGAUGCAGCGACGCCGCGUGAGGGAUGACGGCCUUCGGGUUGUAAACCUCUUUCAGCACCGACGAAGCGCAAGUGACGGUAGGUGCAGAAGAAGGACCGGCCAACUACGUGCCAGCCGCCGCCGUAA